UAGGGAAUCUUCGGCAAUGGGGGCAACCCUGACCGAGCAACGCCGCGGGAGUGAAGAAGGUUUUCGGAUCGUAAAGCUCUGUUGUAAGUCAAGAACGAGUGUGAGAGUGGAAAGUUCACACUGUGACGGUAGCUUACCAGAAAGGGACGGCUAACUACGUGCCAGCAGCCGCGGUAAUACGUAGGUCCCGAGCGUUGUCCGGAUUUAUUGGGCGUAAAGCGAGCGCAGGCGGUUUGAUAAGUCUGAAGUUAAAGGCUGUGGCUCAACCAUAGUUCGCUUUGGAAACUGUCAAACUUGAGUGCAGAAGGGGAGAGUGGAAUUCCAUGUGUAGCGGUGAAAUGCGUAGAUAUAUGGAGGAACACCGGUGGCGAAAGCGGCUCUCUGGUCUGUAACUGACGCUGAGGCUCGAAAGCGUGGGGAGCGAACAGGAUUAGAUACCCUGGUAGUCCACGCCGUAAACGAUGAGUGCUAGGUGUUGGAUCCUUUCCGGGAUUCAGUGCCGCAGCUAACGCAUUAAGCACUCCGCCUGGGGAGUACGACCGCAAGGUU
rnacentral:rRNA from 1 species